rnacentral:rRNA from 1 species
CAGUAGCCGCGGGAAUACGAAGGGGGCUAGCGUUGCUCGGAAUGACUGGGCGUAAAGGGCGCGUAGGCGGUUUUGACAGUCAGAUGUGAAAUUCCUGGGCUUAACCUGGGGGCUGCAUUUGAGACGUCAAGACUAGGGUGUGAGAGAGGGUUGUGGAAUUCCCAGUGUAGAGGUGAAAUUCGUAGAUAUUGGGAAGAACACCGGUGGCGAAGGCGGCAACCUGGCUCAUUACUGACGCUGAGGCGCGAGAGCGUGGGGAGCAAACCGGAUUAGAUACCCGUGUAGUCCCUGUCUCUUAUAA